GUUUGGUCUAUAAUUAGAUGAGACACUUAGAUCAAGCAAGGAAUUUAAGAAGUGGUUUAAUGACAGAAACCUUAAAAGCCUGUGUUAUGUAUCCUGUUAAUAGUGACAAAUGAAUUAUAAUUAAAAUUGUAGUAUCACCCUGGCUACAGAGGUGAAAAGAAACCUGUUCCCCUUUUCCUCAUUCAGUUGUCCUGCCUUUACAGAGCAUCCAGUGUAGUACAAAGUGAAGACGUAUGUAAUGGGGAAGGCUUUAGGACCCAGGGGACCCAAGGGAGGGUAUAAAAGAAGAAGUAGCAGCAGGUGCUCUUCUUCUGUCAUUUGCACUGACGAGCAGCUGUGAACAAUGGUUGUGUGAGUAGGUGAAGAGCCUGAGAAGUUUUAAUUGUCUUCUACACAAACGGUUGUUUUAAACCUCUACAGCAGAGGUUCGAGUGAUUAUAGAAGACAAGCCAGGUGUGCAGCAAACACAGUUGUCUGCUGGAGGACAGGCUGCACAUGUGAAUUUGUCACUGUUUUUUCCUCCUCCUUUUGUUGCGUUUUUCUCCCAAGUUGGUUUUAGAGUAGGGUCACCUUUUAAAACAGUUUUUUUUAUGAUGGGUUUGUUUUUAUUUCUACUGGGCUGGUGCAAUAUUAGUUGGACAAUGUGCAAUCCCUGAGCUGGGCUCUUACCUUAGGGGAAUUGGGUCUUUUAGAAAGGCUCCGUGUGGAUUUGCAGUGAAUAAGUUUUAUUAAGAGUGAUUUUAGUGCCACCGAUUAUUGCCUGAACUAAAACACUUAGUGCAUGCGAUAAGUGUUCUGUUGGGCUCGUAUUUAUUUGGGGUGGAUUUGUUUCUUUUAAAGCAACGAGCAUCUGGGACCACCGGGGUGGAGAAAGCCCUCGGGUGAUAAUUGCAUUGCUGGCAGGUUGCACCAAUAAGACUAUACUGUGGUCGUUAGUGACCUUUUCCAUUUUGAUGUUUUAGGCCUUUUGCAAACCCUUUGUUUUCUUAUCUGACUGAUAUCGACCCUCUUGUCCCGUUUAUUCUGGGCUCGUUCCUGUAAGAGCUCUGGGCCUGAAAGUUUGCACAAGUAGUAUAGAGGCCCUUAGCGGUUACUUGGUGGCUUUUACUCGCUACACGUAGAAGAUAACUGAACAUUUUUAAACCUCAUCGCUAAAUGCUUGACUAAAUCUCAAAACUGAAUAACACCGAAAGCCACACCUGUCCUCACAAUAAUACUGCAAAAAACUAGCCCAUUCACUUACACCAUUGGUGUGUCUUAUACAAUCCAACAAACAUUGGGAUUAUGAAGAAAUGCACAAUGCAAACUUCAAUGUCACUUUGCUAAAAGCAGAACAGUUAGAAAUAUAUUUUAACCUGGAAACCAGCAGAGCAGGGGGCACAAAGUCCCCCACCUCGUUUUUUUUCCAUCACCUCCCUAAGCCAGAGCUAUUCACUUUACUUUGCUACACAACCACAACAUCCAGGGAGACCUGGACUGCUUAUUUAGCCCCAAAAUUACAAACUAUCAAAAACUUCAGGUACAGACACAUAUGGUGGUCAAGUCAGAAUCAUAAAUAACCCUAAAUCAGUAUGUUUUUAUCUUUAGUAACAACAGCAUUGCCAUGGAUACCUGCGUUAAAUCGAACAAACUUGGAAAAAAUUAGGCAGGUUUCCUAAUAAAGCUGUAUUAACAACAUCUGAACAACUAGUUUCUUUAAGAAAUGAAGUAACUUCAAAGGGAUAAAGCAAGCCCUGACUCUAAAUCUCAAUAAAAUGUACCUUUAAAAUAUUGCUCAUAUUUAGGCAUGUGUGUAAUCUUGACAAAUAGUAUGCCCUUUAAUGACUACUUACUGCAGUCAAAAAGCUACCUCCUGCUGCUUAACAUUAAACUGAGAGUUGCUUAUGUUUGUCUAUUAGCCCUGAAAGCACUAAAGUAUUUUAGGGGUUUAGUGCUUUGCUGAAGAGUACAUUAACAGUAAUUACUGAUAAAACAGUGUGUUACACAUUUACACAUCUGAAAUGCUAAUCCAACUAUCCCUGUGAUUCAUGCAUAAAAAAACAAAUGUCUAUUUCCAAGUGCGCACACACAUCCACACGACUUUCACAUUUUAGUAAGGACUUUGAAUUGACAUAUUGCUUUCCCUAACUCUAACCAUCAGAAAUAAAAGCUUAACUCUAAAUCUAACCAUAACCUAAUUGUAAC